GUGACAGAAGAGAGUGAGCACACAUGGCAUUUUCUUGCAUGAAAGUUCAUGCUUGAAGCUAUGCGUGCUCACCCUCUAUCUGUCAC
rnacentral:pre_miRNA from 1 species